GCGAGCUCUUGGCGAGGAAGCCGAAUGCGGACCCGGAGAAUAGCAGGGAGGGCUUCCUGGAGGAACUCACAGCUGAGACCUGCGGACCAGUAGGAGUUAACCAAGGAGUGUUCCAGGCAGAGAGAACAGCAUGUGCGAAAGCCCAGAGGCUGGAGAGAGCAAAUUAUUUUGAAGGAUUUCAAGACGGCUAGAACAGAGCAUUAGGAGGGAUAAAGCGGCAGCGUGGUAUGGGGUUGUGGGGCAAGAGGGAGUAGGGGGAUGGCUAGAAAUUAGGUAAGCAGAGUACUGUGUCCUGAGAGCAAUGGAAGACCUUGGUAGCCAUUAUGUAUGUGACGUGGUACCUGUCACAUAAAAGUGAGCUGGAGGGGGAGAAAGGAGGGAGGAAGAAAAAAGGAAGGAAAUAAAAUUUGAGCCAACCACAGUCAAGCCUCACGUCAGUUUUCAGCAGCAGCUGCGGCUGGAGCUCUCCAUAACCUGUGGCUCAGCCAGCCUCCUGGGAUACCCAGCCCCACGAGCCCUCUGCCAGGCCAAUGGGCCACAAGGCCUCCCAGGACCAAGUCGGCCAGUGCCCUUCCUUUCUCUGGGCUCCUGGCCAGGCAAGGCAGGGUGGGGCAGAUGGGCCCCAGGGCCCCAGGGCCCCAGCAGUGGACACAAUGUUCUGGUUCAGUGGAAGGACCUUAAACUCCAAGACAAGGACACGGCAGUAAAGGAUGAUGUGGCCGAACCCCCGGUUCCGCGGUGAGCAGACCCCAGAUGAGGAAACAGAGGCCCAGAGAGAUACAGCCCUUGGGCGAAGGUCACCCACGUUAGGGCGUAGCUGGGACUUUGAACCCAGUGCCCUGGGUGCGCAUCUGCCGGCAGCCCUGCCCCUCUCCCCGCCGAGGCCCUAAGAGGAGGACUUUCUCUCUCCUCUGACCGGCUCAGGUAGUUACCAUCUGCGCCACUCAUGCGGCCCUUCCUCACUACUGCCCUUGCAAACAGCCUUGCUCAAAGCAAUAAAGUUCUGAC
rnacentral:lncRNA from 1 species